UACGUAGGGUGCGAGCGUUGCCCGGAUUUAUUGGGCGUAAAGGGCGCGUAGGCGGCCACGCACGUCCGUUGUGAAAUCUCCCGGCUCAACUGGGAGGGGUCUUCGGAUACUGGCGGACUUGAGGAGUGCAGAGGUGAGUGGAAUUCUCGGUGUAGUGGUGAAAUGCGUAGAUAUCGGGAGGAACACCAGUGGCGAAGGCGACUACCUGGCCUGUUCUUGACGCUGAGGCGCGAAAGCUAGGGGAGCAAACGGG
rnacentral:rRNA from 1 species